GGAAGUACAUUUGCAGCCAGUUGAUGAGUGGGAACACGAGAGCCUCCUGCCUUUCAGGGAGAGGUGGCCCCCCAGAGGUCCCGGAAAAAGCGCUGUCCCUACACCAAGUACCAGAUCCGCGAACUGGAACGCGAGUUUUUCUUUAAUGUAUACAUAAACAAAGAGAAAAGACUCCAACUCUCUCGGAUGCUCAACCUCACUGACCGGCAAGUCAAAAUCUGGUUCCAGAAUCGCAGGAUGAAAGAAAAGAAACUGAACAGGGACCGUCUGCAAUAUUUCACUGGAAACCCCUUAUUUUGAGAACUCCAGGAUGUACCCCCUCCCCAGAGCCCCACUCACCCACCCUCCUCCCCACCAGCCUGCUCUCAGCAGGCCCAAUGUCCUUGGGUUCAAUGACGCCUCUUCUCUGUGGAACUUCACGAUUUCUUCUCGCCUUCAACUCGGGACCUCCCAGCGACCACUACAGCCUGAGGAAGAGGCCCGGAACUUGGCUGUGCGGAUCCUAAUAAGGGGAACAUGAGGAAAUCAAGUCUGAUACUCCAACCAGCAAUUGGCUCACUGCAAAGAGUGGCAGAAAGAAGAGGUGCCCUUACACCAAGCACCAAACGCUGGAAUUGGAAAAA
ensembl:processed_transcript Gm28309 predicted gene 28309